CCUACGGGGGGCUGCAGUGGGGAAUAUUGGACAAUGGGGGGAACCCUGAUGCAGCCAUGCCGCGUGUGUGAAGAAGGCCCUCGGGUUGUAAAGCACUUUCAGUGAGGAAGAACGCCUGGUGGUUAAUACCCAUCAGGAAAGACAUCACUCACAGAAGAAGCACCGGCUAACUCCGUGCCAGCAGCCGCGGUAAUACGGAGGGUGCGAGCGUUAAUCGGAAUUACUGGGCGUAAAGCGCGCGUAGGUGGCUUGAUAAGCCGGUUGUGAAAGCCCCGGGCUCAACCUGGGAACGGCAUCCGGAACUGUCAAGCUAGAGUGCAGGAGAGGAAGGUAGAAUUCCAGGUGUAGCGGUGAAAUGCGUAGAGAUCGGGAGGAAUACCAGUGGCGAAGGCGGCCUUCUGGACUGACACUGACACUGAGGUGCGAAAGCGUGGGUAGCAAACAGGAUUAGAUACCCUAGUAGUC
rnacentral:rRNA from 1 species